GGCUCAGGCUGGGACACCUCCUUAGAUGUUGAUUGUGGUUCGCGGCGGACGGGUGAGUUACACGUGGGUAACCUGCCUGUAAGACUGGGAUAACUCCGGGAAACCGGGGCUAAUACCGGAUGGUUGUUUGAACCGCAUGGUUCAAACAUAAAAGGUGGCUUCGGCUACCACUUACAGAUGGACCCGCGGCGCAUUAGCUAGUUGGUGAGGUAAUGGCUCACCAAGGCAACGAUGCGUAGCCGACCUGAGAGGGUGAUCGGCCACACUGGGACUGAGACACGGCCCAGACUCCUACGGGAGGCAGCAGUAGGGAAUCUUCCGCAAUGGACGAAAGUCUGACGGAGCAACGCCGCGUGAGUGAUGAAGGUUUUCGGAUCGUAAAGCUCUGUUGUUAGGGAAGAACAAGUACCGUUCGAAUAGGGCGGUACCUUGACGGUACCUAACCAGAAAGCCACGGCUAACUACGUGCCAGCAGCCGCGGUAAUACGUAGGUGGCAAGCGUUGUCCGGAAUUAUUGGGCGUAAAGGGCUCGCAGGCGGUUUCUUAAGUCUGAUGUGAAAGCCCCCGGCUCAACCGGGGAGGGUCAUUGGAAACUGGGGAACUUGAGUGCAGAAGAGGNAGAGUGGAAUUCCACGUGUAGCGGUGAAAUGCGUAGAGAUGUGGAGGAACACCAGUGGCGAAGGCGACUCUCUGGUCUGUAACUGACGCUGAGGAGCGAAAGCGUGGGGGAGCGAACAGGAUUAGAUACCCUGGUAGCCACGCCGUAAACGAUGAGUGGCG
rnacentral:rRNA from 1 species